rnacentral:rRNA from 1 species
GAUGAACGCUAGCGGCAGGCUUAAUACAUGCAAGUCGAGGGGCAGCACAGGUAGCAAUACUGGGUGGCGACCGGCAAACGGGUGCGGAACACGUACGCAACCUUCCUUUAAGUGUGGGAUAGCCCAGGGAAACUUGGAUUAAUACCACGUAAUAUAAUCGGGUGGCAUCAUUUGAUUAUUAUAGCUCCGGCGCUUAAAGA